rnacentral:rRNA from 1 species
AUUGAACGCUGGCGGCAUGCCUUACACAUGCAAGUCGAACGGGCAGCGGACCUUCGGGUGCCGGCGAGUGGCGAACGGGUGAGUAAUAUAUCGGAACGUACCUUUCAGUGGGGGAUAACGUAGCGAAAGUUACGCUAAUACCGCAUAUUCUGUGAGCAGGAAAGCAGGGGAUCGCAAGACCUUGCGCUGAUUGAGCGGCCGAUAUCAGAUUAGCUAGUUGUGAGGUAAAGGCGUCACCAAGGCGACGAUCUGUAGCGGGUCUGAGAGGAUGAUCGCCACACUGGAACUGAGACACGGUCCAGACUCCUACGGGAGGCAGCAGUGGGGAAUUUUGGACAAUGGGCGCAAGCCUGAUCCAGCCAUGCGCGUGAGUGAAGAAGGCCUCGG